CCCUACCAUUCAUAUUUAAAUUAAUGCUUUGUUCUUAGCAAAGCUUCAGCCUUGAUUAGAGGACAAAGUGAUAAUGAGUAAGUCUGCUUCCUUUGUGCUUAACUGACCUGCAGGUGAUCUGGAACAACCUUUACCACCACUUAAAGGAGUCCGUGAAAACAAGACAGGAUUCUCUGUCUAUGAGAAGCGUAUUAUUGCAUUGUGUGCAAGGUGGGAGAGCUUCUAAAAGGAAAGGAUACCAAGAACUGCUCAGAAAACAGUGAUAGUAUUAAUGGAGGCACAGGCUAUGCAAAUUGCAGAGAUGAAACCAAUUGUUUCUGAUAUUCGCUUGCCUCAUCCUAAUGGCUUCCAUCCAACACUUGGUGUGAGUCAGAUGACUGAGACAAGAAGUGCACUCUGCUUCCAACCCUACUGAUCCCUUCGGGGCAAGGGUGAGAUUUAGCCCAUGGGAAGAGGAGUUAAUCUUUUAUACAUCCUUAUUCCUGGUUGCAUUGUUCUUCUUUAUCAGUUUUGUGCCUUUUCUGCAUAGCUGGGAGGUUUGUUGCCGCUGUUCAGGAGGCCACAUAGAAGCUCACAUCUGCUGAGUUGGGAUCUCACAGCCAAGAGCUCAUUUUUUAAAAGAAUUCACAGAAUAGGAGUUCUAAGACUUUUGAAUUCAUUGCCUUAGAAAAUCAGAAUAGAUGUACUGAAAGUUUUGCUACUAUCUGAAGAGUUUUGCUCACUAUUAUAACCGUUGGUACAAAAGAGUCUUUAAAGCAAGAGGAAAUAAAAUGGGAAGUGGAAACAAAAUCUAAAUUAAUCUACCUUUGCUUUGAACCAUUAGAGAAAUACUCCAUCAAGGCUUUUACCAAAAUUGACAUAUUCCCAUAAAAUAUUUUUAUUUUGCAGAGGUGGCAUUCUCUGAAGGGAAAGCUCCUCCAUAUUUUUAAAGGAACUUAUGCAUUAUGUCAUCACAUUAAUGGUCUGUAUUAACCCAACUGCAAGUAAUAGCACAUGAUCACAUUUCCCCCCAACCUUAACACUUCUGAAUUCAGCUGUGUGGUCAUCUCAGAGGUGAUAAGUGCAGCAAGAUCACUCCUGCUGAGCUAUUUGCCUCUGGGCUAUCAUACCCCAAAGUAGGGAGCUGAUAGUUAACUCACUGAUCUCCUCCAAACUGAGCAGCUGGAAAAGCACCAUAAAUGCAACAUGCACAAGACCCCAUCCAUUGAAUUAAUAAGGGUGUUUUCAAAACUAUUUGUAAGACUGUCAGCUUUUUAUCUACUGUAGUUCACCUACAUACAGAUGUUCUAUUGAAUCCAUUGAUUUAUCACAUAUUACUAAAGUUGCCACAUGUGAAUAUGAUGUUUCUCAAACAUAGAGCUCCAUCUAGAAUAAAGAACAAAACAAAGGAAAAAAACACUAAGGAAUCCAAAGUAGGACCAAAUAGAGGCUAGGUGUUUCUAUCAGGUAUGUCAACCCGUGAAAAAUCUCAGCUGAAAUACUGACUGAUUUGGAAUCACUAAAAUGAGAUGAACAACUGCAUUCGUAACCCAGGACACUUAAUUCCUGCAGUUCCACUGCCAAACAUGGCCCAGAGCGACUCAACUUUCCAUGGACAGAUGAGCCUGGUGCCAAAUUAGCAGCCAAGGCUGUGAGACAGCAAGCCAGCCUCACCCCCACCUGCCUCCUCCCUGACCAAGUAUGUUCAGCUUGUCUUCAAGCAACAGAAACACUGUGUAAAUGCAAAACCUUAGGUGAGUAUCAUUAAAGUCAUAACAGAUACAACUUCUCAACAAGAGAACUAAAACCUGGGAGGGUGCCAUAAUCCAAACUUAAUGAGUGGGGAAGGCAGAGGUGUCAGAACGUAAUGACUGGCCUCUUGGGAAACAUUCCAAAGGCACGGCCAGUAGAAACCAAGGAGUCAUUUCUAAUUGAGUAAGACAAAGCCUACAAAUGAGCACAAUACUAGUUUUCAAAUAUGCUGAAUAUGCUCAGUCCAACUUUCAUUCAGGUAACUUUACAUACUAAGGUACUGUGCUGUUAUGUGAUCUCAAAUGGAAUUAUCCUUGGGCUUAUCUUCCUUCACAACAGGACAAAAGCCAGACUGUUAGCCAUGCCUAAUACAUGAGGAAGGGAAAUGCUUCCAUCAAUGCUUUCCUCUUGGCUGUAUCUAUUCCUGCAGGUUAUAGAUUCUCUCAGAAAUGGCUUAUCCAAGCCAGUGGGACUUCUCACAUAGGCAAAAGCAACCUCACAUUAAGUAAUGACACCAUAAAAACACUUGUUAAAAUGACACAAUUCUAAGAGUGAAAGAAAAAAAAAUCAUACAUUAAGGUCCACUGCAGUAUACAAUGUGUAGUACUUCUCCGUGUUGCCAAACAAACGUUAUAGGGACAGUGUAACAAUAAUAAUGUAGCCAAAUACUUUCACGUUAUAAAAAGAAAAAAAGCCAUUCAGAAGAAUACAGGUGAUACAGACACCAUUAUCACCAAUACACAGCUCUUCUGCAGCUCUUCUCAUCACUAGACUUCGAGAUUCCUUAUAACAGAAAUGAAUGUUUUUACACUGUUUUUAUAAAGAGGAAAGCAGAGGUUGAUCAAGUAUUUUAGCCCUCACUUGUUUAGCAGAGCUGUAGUUGAACUCCACGAAUCCCCAAAUCCAUUACUUCUUUCAUCUCCACCACAAAAAAAAAAAAUCUCCUCUAUAAAGCCAGCGAGUGCAUUUGGAUUCCCCUCAAGCAGGGAAGAAAGCAGACACCCUCCCCCAAAUAAUCCAUAAUUGGUUGGAAAGUCCUUUAACCAGGAACUCCAUCAGCCAUAUUCAUAUCCACAACACACGCCCCAGUUGCCACAAACCUUGCCACUCCCUUGGCUUUCUUCCCUCCCACAACCAGACCUUUCCAGCCCAGAGGCUCUUUCCCUCUGGCUCAGGUUUUUCUGAGCAUCCACACCCCCAGCCUGUCCUCUUGGACCAACAGCUCUCUGUCUCCAACAGAAUCCAGCCCCAGGAGCCCAGGGAAAGGACCAGAACCCCAGCUGGGUAAAAGGGGCACAAAGGCAACUCCCCACUCCACAAGGCCAUGCCAUUAGCACGGCAGCAGCAGAAACACCUGCAUUCUUUCAACGUGCUCUCAGGGUACCUGCUCCCACAGCUGAAGGGAUGCUGUUUUCUGAUGAUGCACUGAUUUUAAUCAAACCACUCCAAUCUGCCAACAGGGAGGAUCCCUGGGGUCUCCCAGGUGCCUGAUUUCCCAUGCCCAAACGGGAGCCUGUAGUGCUUACACACGUUAGGGUUAGGCAACAAUCAAGCAUAAGGCUUUUAGGAUUACAGUUUUGGAUUGCAAUUCCACUUAAUCGCUCCUCUGGGCUGGUAAUUUAUUUUCAGGAAGUGCUAAAAUCUCCAUUAGGCUUUAAGAUGUUUGAUUACAGUCAUAGAAUAAUCACGGAAUCAUUAAGGUAGGAAAAGACCACUAAGAUCACCAAGUCCUAUCGCCAACCCAACCCCACCAUGCCCAUAACCACAUCCCUCAGUGUUACAUCUCCUAAUGGCACUCAUCCAGAAAAUUACUUGGUUUCUCUUGUCUCUGGACAUUUUUUUUUUACAUACAGUAGUAAAAGCUGAAUGCCAGAAACAAGUUUGUGAUGAGGAAGCCUCCAGGACCUCUCCAUGCAGCUCUGAGCAAAUUAAACUGCUUUUAGGAUCAUGUAAAUAGAUCGUAUAAAUUUGUUGCUGAGUCCUUGUAGGCAGUAAAAAGUUAAAAGCAGUAUCAAGCCCCAAAGUGUAUGGAAUAUCUGCUUCAAAACCAAGAAAUGGGCACAGAGAUUCCAUUUGUUCCCAUGUUCUGAUAUACACUUUGCACACCAGCCUCUCACACCAGCAUAAGUAAGUAUAUUUUCCACGUUAUAGCAGCCUGGGGUAUGUAGCUAAAAUACACUCUAUUUUUAAGCUGUAAACAGGAGAGAAUCCACAUUGAUUGAGGAAUCUGAUCAUUAGAUGCCUUAAUUUUUAUCCAAGUUUCUGUCUUACUGACAAUCAGGUAACAUGGUCAUUUUCCUUAUAGCGCAGUACAGUGCCAGGGGGACAGGGAGAUAUCCAGGGAAACUUCUUUCCUUUAUUCUAUCUGAUUCCAAGCAGAUUGAUCUGAAACUCCAAAAAUUGAAACAAACGCCCUAGCAGCAUUUUUUUAAAUAGUUUGUGAGCAUGCUGCUGGCUGAAAGAAAGCAGAACUGAAAGGAUAUUGCAAUAAUGCAUGGGAUUUCCAAUGUCCUGAGACAUAAUACCUUGAAUCCUGUCAUCUUACAUCAGAGGACAAUUGCAUAAUGACAAACCCAUUUGAAAAGCUAGCUGGGCAGAAGCACUUCAAAAAGGAACUAUUGCAGUAUGGAGAAAUUAGAUUCAUUUCAAAUGAUAACGCUUGAGUGUAAAUUUUCAAUUAAAAAUUGGUGAUUAGUGUCCAGAAUGAAUGAUCCUAUGUUUAGAUGUUGUAGUUUAAAGAACGAAGCUAGCUAAUUCCAUGCCACUCUGUUCUACAGAUGUUUCAAAACAGCAUUUUAUUUAAGAUAUUUUAGUGUAGACAUCACCCAAACCAUGACGUUACCUGUGCCCUUCCCAGAUACACUUGUUCUGCUGUCAGCAAACAUCCAGCUUUGGACUGAUAUGGUUAUACAAGAUUUUGUGCAGAGGAGACAGUCCCAUAAGGCAUAUGGGACUGUCACAUUUCAUAUGCUUUGACAUAUGAAACAUACAUAUUUCAUGUAACUUUGUUAGUUACAUGAAAAUUUGCUUUCUGCUUUGGGAUGAGGUUGGGUUUCUUUGUUGUUGUUGUUUGCUUUGGUUUGCUUUUGAUUUUUGUUUGUUUCUUUUUUUCUGGUGCUGUUUUUCUGGAAAGUGAGCCUGGAUGCUGGAAUGAAUUGUUCAGCACAUAACUUGGUUGCUUAUAGUCUGAUACAUGGAACUAGAGCAAGACAGUACCUGAAUCUUCCAAGGGUAUAAACUGUGGUUGUCUUCUCUACUAGAGCAUCAAGGAAGUGCCCCAGCUAUGCACAGCUUAAAAUAACACAACACCGAAGCAGACAUUUGUAUUAGAAGAGUCAACACUUCUUGCAGAGGGGUUAGUUCAGGCUGCCUUUCUCUUUCAUAGGUUUCAAUGCUUCUUAUUUCUUGGCUCUUUGUUCAUAUAUAGUGUUGCUCUACAGUCUAAAUUACACUUUUGUGUCCAAACUUGUUUAACUAGUAUUCUUCCUUGCUAACUGAAUGUUGAAUAACAGGGGGCAGGGGAGAAGAGGAAACACCGUUGGUAGAAAAUAGAGUGUGUGAGACAAUGGGAGUUGCAUUCACCCACAUUCUUAACUGAUGGGAAGACAGUCAUGUUUUCGUUUACAUUCAGUGACAUGCACCCAGGGCUUAGUCCUGUUGUGCGUCACUAACUGGCUGAGACACUAGACAAGUUAUUUGCAUUUAUUAACCUCAGAAACAUUACAGGGAAGUUGGUGAUGCUGUGAAACAUAUUUUCAUUGAAGACUAAAAGGCUAUUGACGAUACAUGUUCAAUUAGAAAUUCUGAUACAUCUAUCUUGAUUGUGUCCUAAUAAAUUAGAUUAGGCUGUUUAGGGUUCGCUGGCUCACUUAGCUAAGAAUGCACUUCCUCCGUGGGCAUGCAUUGGCUGAUAAAAUGGAUCUGGAUUGCUGAGAGGAAACUAAAUCUUAGAGAAGAGUUUGAUCUGCAACACUGGCAUACAGACUUGCUGCCAUGGAGCUAGGUGUUUGGUGUUUGUAUGAAUACUUAGAUUCAGUACUUCCUUAUCUGCUUAAAUCAAGGCCAGAUAACAUGCCCAAUAGUUUGAAUAUUUCAAGCAAAAUGUUUAGGGACAUGGACACCUGCUUUAGUCCUUUCACUUAGAAAGAUAAAGAUUGCAAACACAAAAAUGCUAUGACCACGUGGCGCUCUGAGCAAGGUCAGGGGUUUCUCAGGCAUACUAAGGUCACAAAUGAUAAAAUGGACUGCAAAUAGCUAACUUGGUAUCUUUGCUCCUAGACACAUGGAUAUUUACCAGCUUGGCACUUCAAUGUUCUUCUUUAUCAAAAGAAAGUAUCAAGCAUUGUUAUGAUAGAUUUGGAAGGGAAAAAAAAAAAAGGAAAAAGUAGACUUUUUAGAAUGGAUGAGUUUAUCCUAAUCAGUUUCUUUAGUAGAAAGGGUUACUGUAGUGUGAGAAGACCCAAAGCAGGAUUCUUGGAGAGGACAGAUCUAGGUCACACUGUGUACAGUAGUGCCAUUCCAUUCCCUUCUUAAAACGAUCAGACCUCAUUAAGGUUUUCUCUCUGUUACUCCAGGCAGAGCAGUGUUCUACAAUCUGACACCUCUGAGGAUCAAAGCCUGAAUUUGGGUCCUUUGAACAUGGGUAAAUCCAGGCAGAGACAAAGAGAGGGGAGGACAAGGAUGCAACCUCUGAAGACAAUCUAAACACUGUGUUUACAUGGGAGCCCAAACAGAUUGCUUUUGAGAUGACACUGGAAACUGAAGACUUGGCAGAGCCAUGAAAAUAAGUAAUCACGGCAACUCAUAGCUCCAGAUCCACCUUUGCCUGUAUCCUAUGGCCAGGCAACAUGGCAGGUCUGCCCCAAAAACCACAGUCUGGUGAUGGUGCUACAAAACCCUGCAAUAAUGACACAGUAAAGCUCUGUGAUCAUCCAAACCCUGUGGCUGUCUCUCUGCAAGUGCCUAUAAGCCAGUCUCCUGUAUCCUCCUUGGAUUAAAAAACUAUUGAAAA